CCUUCUUUGUUCUUAUUGGUUGCACCUUUAUCUCUUCUUUGACUUUCUCAAAGAAAGAAGACUCAGGAAACUCUUUUGCUCCCAUUUCCCACGGAUCAAUGCAAAUCAGAAAUUUGCACCUCACUUUACACUCUUUUCUUUUAAGGAAGGUGCUAGGAAGCUCCCUUGAGUCUUCCCUCAAGUCCACGGGUUCACACACCAAAAGAAAACUCAAUUCUUCUUCAUAUUCUCUCUAAGGAACCAGAAAACUCUCUCAAGCUCUCUACCAUUCUUUCAUGAGUGGUUCUAUGUAUAUUUUUCCCCUCAAGAAACAUAAACUUGGGGUUACCAGUAUCCAAGUCAAAGCUCCUUCGACUUUAGGCUCUUGGUUCCUCUACUUCCAGUUAGCAGGUUUAUUUUGGAGCAGAGGGAGCCUUAGUCGAGUUU